UGGGGACUGGAGUUGAGAAAUACGGCACUUUAAGUUUAUAAUUCCUCUGGUCCAGAUGGCCGCUGAGCUUUGGUGAAUGGUCCCGGAACGCAAUUCGGAGGACUCUCUAGGGAAGAGACGUACAUGAGAAACAAGGCACUCGCACAAAAGGCUGCUAAGCAUUGGUGAAUGGUCCUGGUACACGGUUCAGAGAGCUCUCCAGGGAACAGAAAAUCGUAAGGACCA